rnacentral:rRNA from 1 species
UGCCAGACUCCUACGGGAGGCAGCAGUGGGGAAUAUUGCACAAUGGGGGAAACCCUGAUGCAGCAACGCCGCGUGAGUGAAGAAGUAUUUCGGUAUGUAAAGCUCUAUCAGCAGGGAAGAAAAUGACGGUACCUGAGUAAGAAGCCCCGGCUAACUACGUGCCAGCAGCCGCGGUAAUACGUAGGGGGCAAGCGUUAUCCGGAUUUACUGGGUGUAAAGGGAGCGUAGACGGCGAUACAAGUCUGAAGUGAAAGCCCGGGGCUCAACCCCGGGACUGCUUUGGAAACUGUGUUGCUGGAGUGCUGGAGAGGCAAGCGGAAUUUCUAGUGUAGCGGUGAAAUGCGUAGAUAUUAGGAAGAACACCAGUGGCGAAGGCGGCUUGCUGGACAGUAACUGACGUUGAGGCUCGAAAGCGUGGGGAGCAAACAGGAUUAGAUACCCUAGUA